GCCUUCGUGGUGUAGUGGUCAGCACGCUUGGAGCGUAUUCGAGAGGUCGCGGUUCGAGUCCCAGCGAGGGCA
rnacentral:tRNA from 1 species